GCCAGGCGUGGUGGCUCACGCCUGUAAUCCCAACACUUUGGGAGGCUGAGGUGGGUGGAUCACCUGAGGUCAGGAGUUCGAGACUAGCCUGGCCAACAUGGUGAAACCCCAUCUCUA
rnacentral:SRP_RNA from 1 species